rnacentral:rRNA from 1 species
GCUUACGGCCAUACCACCCUGAACACGCCCGUUCUCGGAAGCUAAGCAGGGUCGGGCCUGGUUAGUACUUGGAUGGGAGACCGCCUGGGAAUACCAGGUGCUGUAAGCU